rnacentral:rRNA from 1 species
UUGGCUCUGGCAUCGAUGAAGAACGCAGCGAAAUGCGAUAAGUAAUGUGAAUUGCAGAAUUCAGUGAAUCAUCGAAUCUUUGAACGCACAUUGCGCCCGCCGGCACUCCGGCGGGCAUGCCUGUCCGAGCGUCAUUUCAACCCUCAGGACCCACUUUCGGGGGGGACCUGGUGCUGGGGAUCAGCGGCCUCCGGGCCCCUGUCCCCCAAAUUGAGUGGCGGUCGCGCCGCAGCCUCCCCUGCGUAGUAGCACACCUCGCACCGGAGAGCGGCUCGGCCACGCCGUGAAACCCCCAAUUUUUUAAGGUUGACCUCGGAUCAGGUAGGAAUACCCGCUGAACUUAAGCAUAUCAAUAAGCGGAGGAACGC